GAAAGACCCAGAAAGAGCCAUCAUCUAGGAGGUUCUCCAAACCGACCAACCCGGCAUUGAACCCUGAUACCACUGCUCCUGAUGAGCCUCAAAAGCGUGCUAGAAAGACCCAGAAGGAACCAUCAUCUAGGAGGUUCUCCAAACCGACCAACCCGGCAUUGAACCCUGAUACCACUGCUCCUGAUGAGCCUCAAAAGCGUGCUAGCAAGACCCAGAAGGAGCCAUCAUCUAGGAGGUUCUCCAAACCGACCAACCCGGCAUUGAACCAUGAUACCACUGCUCCUGAUGAG